UAUGUUUCCCUGGCGGGCCGCCUUAUGGCAACGGCUCCGGUCGUCUUGCGCCCGUCGGGGACAUCACAACCCUGUUUGCAAAGUCUGUCUGAGUACUAUAUAAUAGUUAAAACUUUCAACAACGGAUCUCUUGGCUCUGGCAUCGAUGAAGAACGCAGCGAAAUGCGAUAAGUAAUGUGAAUUGCAGAAUUUAGUGAAUCAUCGAAUCUUUGAACGCACAUUGCGCCCCUUGGUAUUCCGAGGGGCAUGCCUGUCCGAGCGUCAUUACAACCCCUCCAGCUUGCUGGGUCUUGGGCCUUCGCCUCCGGGCGGGCCUCAAAAGCAGUGGCGGCCCUGCCGGGUCCUGAGCGCAGUAACUUCUCUCGCUACAGGGUCCUGACAGGUGCUGGCCAGCAACCCCAUCUUUCUAAUGGUUGACCUCGGAUCAGGUAGGGAUACCCGCUGAACUU
rnacentral:rRNA from 1 species